CCUUCCUUCUAUUGCGCACUUAGCCAUGGAGGGCGCAGCAGAGUAAAGCGUCCCACAUAUUUGCUGUUUUCUACACGUUUCAAAUUUUGGUUGAUGCGUCGCUGGAACUUGACUGGACUGAGAAACGAAGUUGCUUUUUACGAGUUGGUGACGCACGGUUGCUGGUGCGCCUUCAGACUACACUUGAAGGGAAAAAACUAAGCUAGAAUAAGCAGAUAAAUGUGAAGAAAUAGCAGGCAUAAGGAGACAUGAUGGAAAUGCAAGACACCGAGAUAUUUCAGGAAAUGGCACAACACCAAUAAGAGCACUGCCAGAGAAGAAUGGAGCUGACGUUAAGUGAGACCAAGUUUGGCAGCACAAUGCGGCAAGGUGUGGUGCUGCAGGGAGUGGCUGGGGCUCUACUGUCCGUGGUGUGAGGCCGAGAACAGUCAUGGGGGAUGAGGU